rnacentral:rRNA from 1 species
GAUGAACGCUAGCGGCAGGCUUAACACAUGCAAGUCGAGGGGUAACAGAGAUAGCUUGCUAUUUGCUGACGACCGGCGAACGGGUGCGUAACGCGUAUAGAAUCUGCCUUGUACAGGAGGAUAGCCUUUAGAAAUGAAGAUUAAUACUCCAUAAUGUAUUUGACUGGCAUCGGUUAGAUAUUAAAGAUUUAUCGGUACAAGAUGACUAUGCGUCCUAUUAGCUAGAUGGUAAGGUAACGGCUUACCAUGGCAACGAUAGGUAGGGGGUCUGAGAGGAUUAUCCCCCACACUGGUACUGAGACACGGACCAGACUCCUACGGGAGGCAGCAGUGAGGAAUAUUGGUCAAUGGAGGCAACUCUGAACCAGCCAUGCCGCGUGCAGGAAGACUGCCCUAUGGGUUGUAAACUGCUUUUAUACAGGAAGAAACAGUCGUACGUGUACGGCCUUGACGGUACUGUAAGAAUAAGCACCGGCUAACUCCGUGCCAGCCGCCGCCGUAACAC